rnacentral:rRNA from 1 species
AACGAACGCUGGCGGCAUGCCUAACACAUGCAAGUCGAACGAGACCUUCGGGUCUAGUGGCGCACGGGUGCGUAACGCAUGGGAACCUGCCCUUAGGUUCGGAAUAACUCCCCGAAAGGGGUGCUAAUACCGGAUAAUGUCUUCGGACCAAAGAUUUAUCGCCUUUGGAUGGGCCCGCGUUGGAUUAGCUAGUUGGUAGGGUAAAAGCCUACCAAGGCGACGAUCCAUAGCUGGUCUGAGAGGAUGAUCAGCCACACUGGGACUGAGACACGGCCCAGACUCCUACGGGAGGCAGCAGUGGGGAAUAUUGGACAAUGGGCGAAAGCCUAAUCCAGCAAUGCCGCGUGAGUGAUGAAGGCCUUAGGGUUGUAAAGCUCUUUUACCCGGGAUGAUAAUGACAGUACCGGGAGAAUAAGCUCCGGCUAACUCCGUG